GUAUCAGUAGCUCAAUGGUAGAGCUCUUACAAUUGUUACAUGAGAGAGGUCGUAGGUUCAAUUCCUACCUGAGAAU
rfam:Candidatus Burkholderia brachyanthoides strain TZHbot7 BRCHctg601, whole genome shotgun sequence.